AUUAAUAUGAAAUAUUUAGAAUAGAUAAAUCUUCAGAGACAGAAAGUAGAUUAGUGAUUGCUUAGGUCUGGGUUUCUGGGAGAUGAUAUCUAAGUUAUUAUGAUAGUGCUUUUUUAUUUUAUUUUUCCCUUGUGAUGCUGGGUAUUGAACCCAGGAAUGCUCUACCACUUGGCUAUACUGCCAGUCCUUUUUAUUUUUUAUUAUUUGUAGUGCUGGGGAUUGAAUGCAGGGUCUCCUGCAUGCCAGGUAAGCACCCUUCCACUGAACUAUAUUCUCAUAGUGUUUCUUUUUGAGAUGAUGUAAACGUCAUAAAAUUUACUCUGGUGUGGCUACACACAUAUGCAGAUAGGCCAAUUCAAUAACAAGGACAUCAUUUUGAGAAAAAGGUUUUACUGCUUUGCUGGCAAAGGAGAAACACAAGAAACUUCUGUCCCAGAGACUGUGAUUCUGCCCAUCAUGGGGAACACAGGGUUUUUAAAAAGGUGACUCAAAGGCUACAUUCCAGCUGUGCCCUAAUUUGGGGGAAGGACAUAUCAAAAUUCACUUGCUAAUUUGGGAGAUGGAAAAGAGGAAAAAACAUGUUCAUUUUUCAGAUAACCUCAUUGGUAGAGUAUCAGAGCUAUAUUCAAAGCAUGAGGCAGACCACUGUUAACAAUAAAGGAACUAGAUACUAAAGAGAGGAGUUAGGAAGUGAUUCUUGGGGCACUUCAGCAUUUAGAGAUUGAGCUGAAGAGAAGGUAACAGAGAACACUAUGAAGAAAUAAAGUAGUAGGUUUAUGGAAAAGUACAAAAGAAUGCCUUGCAAUAUAAGUGAAGAAAAUAUUCCAAGAAAGCAAGGGUAAUAUUUUUGGUUUUUUUUUAUUUUUUAGUUGUAGAUAAACACAAUCUCUUUAUUUUUAUGUGAUGCUGAGGAUCGAACCCAGUGCCUCACACAUAG
rnacentral:lncRNA from 1 species